UAUAAUACAAUAAUGUAUAAUAAAUACACAAUUUCACUUAAACGCUUACACAUUGUUCGCGAUCCAGCGCAGUUAGAUUGCUUACCUGGAAAGACUGAUUGCGUUUAUGUCGAUUUAGACCAGCCACCACUGACUUAUUAAAUCUAACUAUUUUUGCAUUUUUGCGAACAAAGCAGCAAUAGACUUUAGACGUCGGAAGUCGUGUGUCAAUUGAUUUUCAGCGGCGAUUACUGACUUAAUUAGUCAGUGUUAAUUAUACACAAAAACAUACGAUGCCUGAAACUCUGAAGUAGGUGGCUUGCACUAUGAAACAUCGAUUUACGCCCUUAUGAAGACAGCUGUCCGGUCUUCACAUCCUCGCAUGCAGAUGGCCCACAGCGUUGGGAAUUUUACACAUUAUUAAUAAUUCAAAUUAAAUUAUUAAUUGCUUUAAGUUAUUCAUUUAUUUUUAUUUUUAUAUUAAAUAUACAAUAAAUUCAGUUAA